AGUAGUUUGAUCCUGGCUCAGGACGAACGCUGGCGGCGUGCUUAACACAUGCAAGUCGAACGGACAAGUACCCUUCGGGGUAUGAGUUAGUGGCGAACGGGUGAGUAAAACGCAGAUAACCAACCCUCAGGAUAGGGACAACAAGUCGAAAGAUUUGCUAAUACCUAGUGGAGUGAUAGGAUCGCAUGAUCUUAUUAUAAAAGGCAACCUCUUAAAAAUGUUGUCGCCGGAGGCCGGGUCUGCGGCUGAUUAGAUAGUUGGUGGGGUAAAGGCUCACCAAGUCGACGAUCAGUAGCCGGUCUGAGAGGAUGAACGGCCACAAUGGGACUGAGAUACGGCCCAUACUCCUACGGGAGGCAGCAGUGGGGAAUAUUCCGCAAUGGGCGAAAGCCUGACGGAGCGACGCCGCGUGAGUGAAGAAGGUCUUCGGAUCGUAAAGCUCUGUUGUUGGGGACGAAUUAACCUUCGGGGUAGUUGACGGUACCCGACGAGGAAGCCACGGCUAACUACGUGCC
rnacentral:rRNA from 1 species